UACGGGGGGGGCAAGCGUUGUUCGGAAUUACUGGGCGUAAAGGGCUCGUAGGUGGCCAACUAAGUCAGACGUGAAAUCCCUCGGCUUAACCGGGGAACUGCGUCUGAUACUGGAUGGCUUGAGUUUGGGAGAGGGAUGCGGAAUUCCAGGUGUAGCGGUGAAAUGCGUAGAUAUGACAUAGAACACCAAUUGCGAAGGCAGCUCGCUACACAUAUAUUGACUCUGAGGCACGAAAGCGUGGGGAUCAAACAGG
rnacentral:rRNA from 1 species